rnacentral:rRNA from 1 species
UUUGAUGGCGACCGGCGCACGGGUGAGUAACACGUAUCCAACCUGCCGAUGACUCGGGGAUAGCCUUUCGAAAGAAAGAUUAAUACCCGAUGGCAUAGUUCUUCCGCAUGGUAGAACUAUUAAAGAAUUUCGGUCAUCGAUGGGGAUGCGCUCCAUUAGGUUGUUGGCGGGGUAACGGCCCACCAAGCCUUCGAUGGAUAGGGGUUCUGAGAGGAAGGUCCCCCACAUUGGAACUGAGACACGGUCCAAACUCCUACGGGAGGCAGCAUG